rnacentral:rRNA from 1 species
AUUGAACGCUGGCGGCAGGCCUAACACAUGCAAGUCGAACGAGUGGCGGACGGGUGAGUAAUGUCUGGGAACCUGCCUGAUGGAGGGGGAUAACUACUGGAAACGGUAGCUAAUACCGCAUACCAUCGGAUGUGCCCAGAUGGGAUUAGCUUGUAGGUGGGGUAAAGGCUCACCUAGGCGACGAUCCCUCGCUGGUCUGAGAGGAUGACCAGCCACACUGGAACUGAGACACGGUCCAGACUCCUACGGGAGGCAGCAGUGGGGAAUAUUGCACAAAGGGAGCAAGCCUGGUGCAGGCAUGCCGAGUGUAUGAAGAAGGCCUUCGGGUUGUAAAGUACUUUCAGCGGGGAGGCGUUACCCGCAGAAGAAGCACCGGCUAACUCCGUGCCAGCAGCCGCGGUAAUAC